UACGUAGGGGGCAAGCGUUGUCCGGAUUUAUUGGGCGUAAAGAGCGUGUAGGCGGCCAUUCAGGUCAGCUGUGAAAACUCGAGGCUCAACCUCCAGCCUGCAGUGGGUACGGGCAAACUAGAGUGCGGUAGGGGAGAUUGGAAUUCCUGGUGUAGCGGUGGAAUGCGCAGAUAUCAGGAGGAACACCGAUGGCGAAGGCAGAUCUCUGGGCCGUAACUGACGCUGAGGAGCGAAAGCGUGGGGAGCGAACAGG
rnacentral:rRNA from 1 species